rnacentral:misc_RNA from 1 species
UAAUCAAAGUGUUUUUAUGGCACUUUUAAAAAAUCCAUAUCCACCUUGUGUGCAAUGUCAUCUCACUGGAGGCCAGCGGCUGUAAAAAGCCCGUUUGGUCACCUUUGGGAUUUAUAUCUACUCAGAACUUUAGUGAUUUUGUCUGAAAAAUAUUAUGAAUAACUUAAUUCAAAAUA